UUUUGAUAAAAAGUGAAGUUUAAUUGUACUUGAAAGUGAAGUUUCGUUUUAGUCGCGAGUGAAGUUUUUUUUUAAAUCGAGAUUGAAGUUUUUACUUUAAUAAUGAGUAAAGUUUUAUUUAAAUAGUAAAAAUAAAAAUGUAAAGUUACUGAACAAAUAUUUAGUGCCCUUUUGUUUUCGAUUCCUUGACGACAUCAAUAAUUUUCUGCUAUCAUCGAAGGCUUGACAAAAAAACCAGCGAAUGGAGACAAAAUGGCUGAUUGUUGACACUCAUCUGGCAGGUGACUGUUGUGUUGGAGCUAGUUUUAAUCACUACAAGGGUUGGAAUCAUGACAACCAGGGAGCACCGUUUUUUUUUGUAGCCCUCACUCCACUGGCCUGUAAUUCGACGAUUUUGCUAUUUUUUUAUUUUUUAAAAAAUUUUUUUUUAUAUUCUUCAAAUCUUCAAAUAUCAAUAAAAAUCAUAUAAA